rnacentral:rRNA from 1 species
UGGGUAACCUGCCUCAAAGAGGGGAAUAGCCUCCCGAAAGGGAGAUUAAUACCGCAUAAUAUGUUUAAGUCGCAUGACUUUAACAUCAAAGGAUUUUCUUUAGAAUUCCACUUUGAGAUGGACCCGCGGCGCAUUAGCUAGUUGGUGAGGUAACGGCUCACCAAGGCAACGAUGCGUAGCCGACCUGAGAGGGUGAUCGGCCACAUUGGAACCUGACGACGCCGACACGUCCUACCGGAGGCGACG